rnacentral:rRNA from 1 species
UACGUAGGUGGCAAGCGUUGUCCGGAUUUACUGGGCGUAAAGAGCGCGCAGGCGGUCGUUCAAGUCGCGUGUGAAAGCCCCCGGCUCAACUGGGGAGGGUCACGCGAUACUGAUCGACUGGAAGGCAGGAGAGGGUAGUGGAAUUCCCGGUGUAGUGGUGAAAUGCGUAGAUAUCGGGAGGAACACCAGUGGCGAAGGCGACUACCUGGCCUGUUCUUGACGCUGAGGCGCAAAAGCUAGGGGAGCAAACGGG